GACCGCGACCCCAGGUCAGGCGG
rnacentral:rRNA from 1 species